rnacentral:ncRNA from 2 species
AACUUAAUAUAUGGGUUAGGUGCCCACAGGGCUUAAUAGGGAAGUCCGGUGCAAGACCGGCGCGGUCCCGCCACUGUAAUGGGGAGCGAACCAAAAUACGCCACUGAGGCUAGGCCUUGGGAAGGUUGGGGUAGCUAUGAGCCAGAGCCAGGAGAACUGCCUAACUGACAAUCACCGC